rnacentral:rRNA from 1 species
AGUGAACGCUGGCGGUAGGCCUAACACAUGCAAGUCGAACGGCAGCACAGUAAGAGCUUGCUCUUACGGGUGGCGAGUGGCGGACGGGUGAGGAAUACAUCGGAAUCUACUUUUUCGGGGGGGAUAACGUAGGGAAACUUACGCUAAUACCGCAUACGACCUACGGGUGAAAGCAGGGGAUCUUCGGACCUUGCGCGAUUGAAUGAGCCGAUGUCGGAUUAGCUAGUUGGCGGGGUAAAGGCCCACCAAGGCGACGAUCCGUAGCUGGUCUGAGAGGAUGAUCGGCCACACUGGAACUGAGACACGGUCCAGACUCCUACGGGAGGCAGCAGUGGGGAAUAUUGGACAAUGGGCGCAAGCCUGAUCCAGCCAUACCGCGUGGGUGAAGAAGGCCUUCGGGUUGUAAAGCCCUUUUGUUGGGAAAGAAAAGCAGCAGGUUAAUACCCCGCUGUUCUGACGGUACCCAAAGAGUAAGCACCGGCUAACUUCGUG